rnacentral:lncRNA from 1 species
GUGGGCAUGGGCUUGGAGUGAGGACUGCUAGUGGUAUCUCUAACAAAGAUCUAGGUCUCUGAGGACAGAGCAGGAGAUAUCUACAGAGAGACCUUUUGCUGGUGGAGGCUGCAAGUGUGGAGGCACCUGGUGCCCUGGCUCUGUGCUUGGCGGUAGUAACCGGUGGAGCUGAAAGGAGUAGGCAUGGAGCUCGGCAGCUUGCCGAGCCAAUCUUUUCUUCACUCUUUGGGACGUGCUACAAGUGUGAUGUCAGCGCAAUCCCAGCUUGUGCUGGUGCAUGCUCUGUCCCUCUGUUCCCGUGUCUGGAUAUGCAGUUCAGACAGUCCUCUCCAGCACAGAUCUCAGGAGAUGAUGUGAUCUGCUGUGAAACAAACAAAAUAUGUGUUUAUUUACCUAUUUUCAAUUUGUGAUGUGUUAUUAGACUUUCCAAAACCUUGAAGGUUGGGAAGUGAGUUACUGCAUGACUAACAUUGCUGCAUAGAGUCUUAACGUUCCUUAAAAUCCUUGAAACUAUGUUGCAUAAAUUAGAAGUCUUGCUUCAUAAUUCAGGUAUAAUGCACAGUAUAAUAUGCAAGGCUACUUACAAUUAUGUACUUACUAGUUGUUCUAGAAACUAAUGAAUUGUGUAUAGCAUCUUGGCCUAGGAACGUUCUGCAAAGUGAAAUGUAGCAGGUUUUUUAAAAAUCACUGACUUACUGUUUACUGAUUUUUCAAACUUUCUCCUGAAGUUUUGCACAAAAUAAUAAAAACAGUUACUCUGCAGAAACA